UGGUUCUUUAUAAAUAUGAAUAUUUAUACUUACGGGAAAUUUGGUUCUCACUUUUUGCUUCCUCUUCAGCCAGAGAGAAGAUAAUGAUACUCAAGUCACACUCAACAUACACCGGUAUAAUCAACAAAGAUGAAUCCUAGUCGAUUUGCAAGAGGAAGGAUCAAAUCAGAAUAAAAAAAAUCAACACAGAAGCCCACUCAAUAUAUGUUUCAUGUGUUCCUAAUCUAUGAAAAGAAGGAAAUAGAACGAUUUGUAGAAUGCUACUGUCCAUUUUUCAGAAACCUGGUAUUUGAUGUCAAACAAAAAGAAGAAAAGAAACUUUUUUUUUUUAAUAAUAUUAUUUCAUUAGAAAACCCAAAAGGGGAUCAGAAAACAGUGGUCGUCACCGGAGAAACGACGGUGCUUACAAACACGAGGCUAAGAACAAGGAAUCACAACCAAGAGAUACAUGCAUAAAUCAGAGAUCUAAAAGAGAAAGGGGUCAAGCGAGGGUGAAAAGACAAGGGAGUACGAAACUCCCACUCCGACGAACACGAGAGGAUAGCAUCUCCAACAUUACCGGGAACUCACAACAGCCGGCGUGUCCGGAACCAAGCCACAGAUCCAUCCCGAUUAGUCUUCAGUGCAAGAGCCCCCCUCGGAGUGUCCCGCGGCCCCGAACACCGGUUUCCAGAGGAACACGCGACUCUCAAACCUUCCUCCGCCGUCCUCUGCUACCGCCUCGCCGUCACACACGUAUUUAAGCGCCGUGCACAAACUCUCAGGUCAAACCGGCCAAGAGUGAAUUUCGCGACUUUGAAGAACAUAUCCAGAAGAACCGCCAUCCUCUAGACCAUCUCUCCGUCAACGAAAGCCCUCACAGCAAUGACGCGAAAGAACCAUAGCCCCGAUGGCUGACUUGCGCAAAACCCGGUCCUCCUCCGCCGUCCUCGAGCAGAGAUCGAGACCAUCGUACGGCGAGUCACCAGAGCCAUAGUUUCUACAUAGAGACUCACCGCUUCAGAGACUCUUCCGUCACGGUGAAAAGAGAGGUGUGCCUCCAUGGCGCCACAUAUUCCGUCAUGAAGCUCAAAGAUCCCGACUUUCCCGUCUCAGCCUCACCGGAAUCUCGUUGCAACUCCAACGAAGUCCAGAUCCGUCGCCUUUUGGCUAAAAACCCGACAGCUCAGAGCCACAGACAUAUCGAAACAGGAGGGAACAGAUAGGAGAAAGUUUUAGAAAACGAAAAGGGAUGGGAGGCCGACGAAAAACCCGCCAGCCGCCAAGACUAAAAGAAGAUCUAGGGUUUUCGAGAUAGAGAGAGAAAUGAGAGAGAGAGAGAGAGAGAGAGAGAGAGAGAGAGAGAGA